rnacentral:rRNA from 1 species
GACGAACCGAGCGAACGUUGUUCGGAAUCACUGGGCUUAAAGGGCGCGAGUAGGCGGGUUGUCAAGUCUGGGGUGAAAUCCCGCGGCUACAACCGUGGAACUGCCCUUAAGAUACUGACGACCUCGAGGAGGUAGGGCGAGCGGAACUCUCAGUGGAGCGGUGAAAUGCGUUGAUAGUUGGGAGGAACUCCGGUGGCGAAAGCGGCUCGCUGGACCUUUUCGUGACGCUGAGGCGCGAAAGCUAGGGG